ensembl:ncRNA lncRNA:CR44419 long non-coding RNA:CR44419
CUAUUUUAUUUUUUUUUACUCAUCGCCCUAAGCUGGCGUGCAUUCUGAAUAUAUUUAUUUCGGCCUCUGUUUAUUUCUAUUUUCAGUUGCAGUUUUGGAUUCUGUUUGUUUUUUUCGUAUUUCGUUUUUGUGUUUGUGCAUUUUUCAUUACAGCAUUGACAGUGACAACGACAACGACAGCGACAGGAGUGUGUGGCCCAAAAGGCCUGUGUUGGUGUGUGGCAUGCAACAAUGGAUGCGCUAGAUAGUCGCCAGUAGCACUCGCAGUUGCUGCGGUGUGUGUGCGUUGCCCCAGGGCCCCACUGUGUGUGUGCGCGUGCAAAUGUGUGUGAAGACGUGGCACUUUUUUAUGCCAUUGUUGUUGUUAUUUAGCAACGACUUUACGGACACCCUCUCCCCCCAUCGACGCGGGGCACGCACAAAAUGUGGCACAAGCAGUGUACUAGUUCCACAUAUCGGUAUUCCUUGGAGUCGAGUACCAAUCACUGCGAGAAAAAUCGCUUAAAUUGAAGACCAAAUUUUAUGUUGCGUUCAAGCAUUCGAGAAAUAAACAUUAUUUACAAAUAAACUAGCAAUUUAUAAACAUUAUAAGAGGCACAUU